rnacentral:ncRNA from 2 species
CACGGUUUUCAGCCAUGCUCAGACAGUGGUUCUUUGUGUAGGUUGUUCAACAGUGUUGUGCCAGCCUACAGGAGGAAAGGCCAGACUCACAGAAGGCUGAAAGUGCGUAAAUCUAACUAAGAAAGAGAAAGUGCCUGCAAUCCCAGCACUUUGGGAGGCGGAGACGGGUGGAUUACUUGAGCUCAGGAUUUCGAGACUAGCCUGAGCAACAUGGCAGAAACCGCAUCUCUACAAAAUAUACAAA